UAAUUGCCUGCAGUGGGAUGUGAAUGAGAAAGGCCAGGAUCUGUGUUUGGGGGUCUCACCGGUGCUUCCCAUCCUGGGGCAGGUGUAGCCCCAGUUUCCCUAAGUCUGACCCAUGGCUCUCCCUUGCUUUGCAGGAUCUGCAUAGGGUCUUGCCAGACCUCCUGGACGCCAUGCUGGGGAACCUGCUGGCAGACUCCUCAGACACCACCAAGCUCCACUACAUCUUGGAGCACAUUAACUACUGGAUCGUGUCCAGGGUGUCGCACGAGAGAGCCAGAGCCAUCAGGAGCAGCACGGCCCUGCUCAGAUCCAUCAUCGCCCUCCCUGAGUUCAACAACUCAGCCGAAUUCCCCAGGAUGGGUCACCACGUGGCACAGCUGGCUCUGUUCAUUGGUGACCCAGCCAAGGACAUCAGCCAGCAGGCCAGGGAGGGGGUUCACCGGCUCUACCAGCUGCUGCUGCACCAGAGGGGUAAGGAACCCAGCUGGGAAAUGGCACCCAAUAGACGAGUGAGACUGGGACCCCAGCCAAUUUCUCUCAGACCGACCCAGCUGGAGGAUGAGUCUCUCUCUCUCUCUUUCUGUGUUCUACACCACCCCCUGCCAUUCUGUUGGGCUGGGCACACAGCGAGGGCUCUGCCCACUGUGCAACCACCAGUGGGAUUGGAAGGACACAAGACCUGCAACCAGGAUGACAAAUGUGUGUGUCUCUUUCCCAGGCCUGACUAUCCAUGAGGCUGAAGACCUCUGGGCCUGGGACUGGCACCAGACAGCAGGCUCCUGGGUCACAAGACCACAGUCAGGGUGGGGGAGGUGUUCGGAAAGUUCUUCUCGGAGGGGCAGAGAAGAUUCUUCCUGCGGACGGCAGUGCUGGCCAUCAUAGAAUAAUAGGGUUAGAAGGGACCUCAGGAGGUAUCUAGUCCAACUCCCUGCUCAAAGCAGGACCAAUCCCCAACUAAAUCAGCCCAGCCAGGGCUUUGUCAAGCCUGACCUUAAAAACCUCUGAGG